AUCCAACUGGCCAGUCUCAAAUAGGACGAAACGCGCGUCCUGAAU
rfam:Schistosoma rodhaini strain Burundi genome assembly, scaffold: SROB_scaffold0002619